GGGUCGGUAGUCUAGCUUGGUAUCUGAUUCAUGCUUGGGGUGCAUGAGACCGCGUGUUCAAGUCACGCCCGGCCCACCA
rnacentral:tRNA from 2 species